rnacentral:rRNA from 1 species
UACGAAGGACCCGAGCGUUAUCCGGAUUUAUUGGGCUUAAAGGGUGCGUAGGCGUCCUGGAAAGUUACGGUUGAAAUCUCCUUGCUCAACAAGGAAACUGGCCGUAAAACUAUCAGGAUUGAGUACAUUUGAAGCGGGCGGAAUGUGUCAUGUAGCGGUGAAAUGCUUAGAUAUGACACAGAACACCAAUUGCGAAGGCAGCUCGCUAAACUGUAACUGACGCUGAGGCACGAAAGCGUGGGGAUCAAACAGG